CAGCAGCCGCGGGAAUACGUAGGGUGCAAGCGUUAAUCGGAAUUACUGGGCGUAAAGCGUGCGCAGGCGGUUAUAUAAGACAGAUGUGAAAUCCCCGGGCUCAACCUGGGAACCGCAUUUGUGACUGUAUAGCUAGAGUACGGCAGAGGGGGAUGGAAUUCCGCGUGUAGCAGUGAAAUGCGUAGAUAUGCGGAGGAACACCGAUGGCGAAGGCAAUCCCCUGGGCCUGUACUGACGCUCAUGCACGAAAGCGUGGGGAGCAAACAGGAUUAGAUACCCCAGUAGUCCCUGUCUCUUAUAC
rnacentral:rRNA from 1 species